AUUGAACGCUGGCGGCAGGCUUAACACAUGCAAGUCGAGCGGAGACUUCGGUCUUAGCGGCGAACGGGUGAGUAAUACCUAGGAAUCUGCCUAUUAGUGGGGGAUAACGAAUCGAAAGGUUCGCUAAUACCGCAUACGUCCUACGGGAGAAAGGGGGGGAGUCUUCGGACCUCUCGCUAAUAGAUGAGCCUAGGCCGGAUUAGCUAGUUGGUAGGGUAAAGGCCUACCAAGGCGACGAUCUGUAGCUGGUCUGAGAGGAUGGCCAGCCACACUGGAACUGAGACACGGUCCAGACUCCUACGGGAGGCAGCAGUGGGGAAUUUUGGACAAUGGGCGAAAGCCUGAUCCAGCCAUUCCGCGUGCAGGAUGAAGGCCCUCGGGUUGUAAACUGCUUUUGUACAGAACGAAAAAGACUCUGGCUAAUACCUGGAGUCCAUGACGGUACUGUAAGAAUAAGCACCGGCUAACUUACGUG
rnacentral:rRNA from 1 species